AUUUGGUUGAAAAUCUUGUAUCCAUAGAUGACCCAGGACGUCUAUAGCAUGGCACCCUGAGAGUUGGUGCCAUUUCAUUCACUUGAGUAGUUUCAAAGACCAAAAAUAUACCGAAACAGGAAGUUUAGAUUCUAUUUCAUCAUCAGAGAAUUCAAUAAACUGAAAAAUAAGUAUACAUUCUUUAUGAAAGAGCAACUUAUGUUAUUGGUAACUGCAAUGUUGCAUAGAACAAACUUCAGAUGGUGGUUCUUGAUCGUCUACCCAAGAUGCAUCAGAUCCUUUCAUACUAUGUAAUAAUGAAAAAAAAUGACUAAGAUUUAACUUUAAUUACACGUCUAAAAUGAAAAAAUCCUUACUUUCUCAACUGUGAAAGAAAUACAAAAUGUGUUAUAUCUUUUGAA